AUGAUUUCAGAGCCUCAAAAAGGUAUGGUAGAAUCAGUGACUGCAUGGCUCAGAGAGAGGCUGCGGAGCCAGGCAAGCCUCGGUUCAGACUUGGCUGCUCAUGAACAGUGUGACCUUGGCAAAUUAUGGGGUUUCUUAAAGCCUGUUUCUUCAUUUAUAAGUUGUAAGUAUAUGCAUCUUUUUUUAAAAAAAGGUUUAAAAGUAUGUAUGUAAUACUCUGCACAUGUUAUGCAUGGCAGAAGCUGUUGGGUUUCCUUACUCUUUCGUUGCCCAUAGAAUCCUGAGGAUAUUAGAGUCACAGCGUACCCAGGGCCAGAGAAUUAGUCCUGAUUGCUUUGUACUAUUGUGGCAAUCUUAUUUUCCAUUGCCGUGACUGAUUUUGAAAUAUGAAAUUCACUUCUGGCCAAUGAUAUGUAGCAGGGAGACCUCUGGGGCUUCUAGGAGAGGCUUUUCACCUUGAAGAGAGAGAGGGAUUGGAGGAAGAGUUCUAUUUGGUGUUGGGCUUUGUUAUGUGAGAACUUGAGGCCUGUGCUCCAUUAGCCAACUGACUGAGACAAAACUGAGUAUGAAACGCUGAGCUUCAGUUUGAAAGUGGGUCCCCAGGUCAUUAUGGAGCAACCAUGAGACAGCCUCUUCUGGCCUUUUGUUAAACACAAGAAGUAUCCUGUGUUUAAAGCACUCUAGGUGGGAUUUUCCAUUAUUUGUAACCAAAAGCAUCCAACACAAAAAGUAGACUGUUAAUAAUAUGUGUUAAUCAGUGUAUUUUGAAAGGGCAAAUUGGUAUUUAUUAAAACCCAUUUCCUUGAAUGAAUAGAAAAUAAUCCUCAAUUGAAUUCCAACUGCAAUUCUAUAAUACUUUUUCUUUUUAGAAUUUUGGAAAUUUAAAAAUCUUAAAAAAAACAUUUUUUUUUUCUUUUUCAGGGAAGAUCUAAUAAAAUUUAGUGGAAUUCAAUCAGUUACGUUUUAUUUUAAAAGCAAAGAAGAAUGCCAUAGACUUAUACUUUGGAAAGGAAUUUAAUAAUUAUUUAUAUCUAAAAUUUAAAUCACCUUCCUGCUUCUAAUUAAAGAGCACUUAAAAUCCAUCUCAGGAGAUAGAACUGGGGUUUUUUAAUGAAUUUUUAAAAACCAACCUAUUAAAUAGCAGCAUUUUAGGUUAGGUUUAUGUAGUACACAGGUUUAUGUUAGGACUCAUAAUUAUGGAUCAGAUCCAGUUUGGGUGAUCCAUGAAAAAUAACUCAUAUGUCAUGCUCAUAAUUUACAUAAAAGAAGGUAUUUCUUGUUCCUUCUUUUAAUUACACGGGUCAUACUCGCUGCAGAGGAGAAUCCUAAUUUCUGUUGUAUUUUUAUUCCUCUGUUGGAGAUCUUCCUCUUCCCUUUCUUCUGCUUAUCUCUGACAGACUACAAAGCUAGAGGAAAUUAAAAAUGUCUAAACAUACCAAUCCUGGAAAUUUGAAAUCUUUUUGAAUUUUAUUAGACCCUGUGACACCAACCAGAAAUUGGAAACUUCUUUUGUCUUGGAAGCUGCAGACUUUCUUUAAGAACGAUUAAUGAGAAAUGGUGCACAGAUCAGGUAAGGACCUAGAGCUAGAUCUGAUUUUUUAAAAGUACCAGCAACUGGCUGGGCUCAGUGGCUCAUGCCUGUAAUCCCAGCACUUUGGGAGGCUGAGUUGGGCAGAUCAUGAGGUCAGGAGAUGGAGACCAUCCCGACUAACAUGGUGAAAUCCCAAAAAAUUAGCUGGGUGUGAUGGCAUGGACCCGUAGUCCCAGCUACUUGGGAGGCUGAGGCAGGAGAAUUGCUUGAAUCUGAGAGGCGGAGGUUGCAGUGAGCUGAGAUAGAGCCACUGCACUCCAGACUCUGUGUCAAAAAAAAAAAAAGUACCAGUAACCCAGUAACUAUAACAGUAGAUUGUUUGAGCCAGUUCAAUAGACAGCACAGGUUGUUGUAUAUUAAAGUAAAAUGUGUGACUGUCUUUUUUGAUGUAAAAGGUUAUACAUUCAUCAUUUGUUAUUAAAAAAUAAUUAUUGCAACUCUACUAUGUUCCAGGCCAUUCUACAUUCAAACUUAUAAAACCCCUGGAGGCCCUGGGCCCUACUGCAUAGUAAAAAUGCCUCAGAAGCUCCUGUAAUUCCCUUGGCCAUACUAUUGAUAUUCCAAAUGAUACUACUAUUUGAGCAUAAGUAUGUGGCUAGAAAAAAGCAGUCAAGAAUGAUGGACUGGAUGCAGGCAAGAGUGUGCCUUGUACUCACCUCAGGGUCUGUGAGCUGGGCUUGUGGAUUAUGAACUUGUUGCGGGUGGUCGACGGGAACUGUCUGUGGUUUGGUUUGUCAGGGGGCAUCAAGCAAUGUAACUGCCCCCUCAUCAGCAUGUCAAAUUGUAUUAAGUCUCAUCUCAUGUAAAUUCUCUGAUGAACAUUCUUAUUUCCUGUAAGAUUAUUUGAGAUAAAACUGAGAUUUAAGAUAUAAGUAAUUUGAAAUGGAUUUCCAUGAUUACUAACAAGAAAUCCUUGUGAACCCACUUCUUUGUCCAUGGAUCCCCAAGGGGAGUGUGGAGAGAACAGUUCCAUGUGACCAAUUUCCCUUUAAUUAUGCAUUUUACACUAAUAAAUUUUAAAACAUGAUAUUUGAGAAGGACUCAGACUUCCACAAACUGCCUGAAAGGUCUAUGAACCAAGAAGUUUAAGAGUAAUGUGGAAAGUAAAUAUAAGCAUUUGUGCAACAGUGGUGCAAGGAAUACAGAAAUUAAAUAAUAGAAACAAGAUCACUAAUAAAGUUUAGGACUGGUCAGUCCUAUCUUCCUCUAGCACAUGAAAUUGGGGCUGCAGCUGGCAUAGCAACAUCACUGAAGUCUCUGCAUGGUUGGAAACCUUCACACACCCUCAUGAGGAAGGGAAUAAGCACAGCAGUGCGUGAUUCUGUGGACAAUCAUCUUGGAGCUGUUGGAUUUAGCAGUGGCUAAAAUGGCCAUAUAUUUUGAAAAGGAAGCAAGUCCUAGAGCUCGUUAGCUUGAAACUGGCAAGCAAUCACAACUUUUUUGUCUGACCACAUUUUACUUUUACUGCUUAGUAAAAAUAUACUCCAAACAUCGGUAAUGUCUAAGUACUUUCAUUGAAUGGUUUUAUGUAAAAAGUGAGGA
rnacentral:lncRNA from 1 species